CAAAUACUCCCUCCGUCCCAAAAUUAUUGUCUUAGAUUCGUCUAGAUACGGAUGUAUCUAAUACUAAAACGUGACUUGAUACAUUCGUAUUUAGACAAAUCUAAGACAAUAAUUUUGGGACGGAGGGAGUAUAAU
rnacentral:pre_miRNA from 1 species